UUACCAUUCAUUCUCUAUGUGACAGCCUUCACAUCAUCAGCAGCAGCAGCAGUAGAGAAUAUAAUCCACGGAGGUUUUAUAUCGGUAUGUACGGCGUUUUAAUCACUGUUCUGUCGUCUAAGAAGCUGGUAAACUUAUCAAAAGAUCCAACUUCUUUCCAGGAAAGAUUACGGUGUCUUUAGCGAAGGCUCCAUCAGGUAAAUACCUGACACACAAUAAAUGUUACCAUUACAGUCGUCUCGUGGCGAUGGAGAGGGGGAUGCUUAAUCUCUCUCAGUCUAAAUUUGACACUGAACUAAGUAGGUGGAUCUAGUUUAAUAACCAGAGUAUUUUUUAAACUCUUACUCCUACUGGUCAUGAUAAUAGUCUAAUGUCAGCUGUGCUUUCAGGGCCAGCAGCAGCAGUCUAAAGAGCCACGGCUGUGUCUCCACCAACAGGUUUUUUUUUCUCAGGCUGUCAUUCAAGGAUUUGGCAUUUUAAAUUUAUAUAUUCAAUAGGCACAACAAACCACAUCUUUGAUUGUGUGCUUACUAUAUAUUGAUAUUGUUUCUGUGCUUUACCUGUUUUCUUAAAAGCAUUGUUUUUUUCAUGACAAAUAAAUAAUGAUUCAUAAUUUAAGGAAAUAUGGUGUUUUCAGUCUGUAUUCACAGUUUGUUAGAGAGAAAACAUAUAAAGACACAUUGUGAAGAAUAAACUAACUUGACUGUGUGAGGAAAAUGACUCUGAAUUGUUUUUACAGCACACAGGACAGAGCCAAC